CCCCGCACUUGUCUCCCUCAUUCCACGGUAUGCCAACUACUUGAGGCUCCAGCGCCAGCGGUUAUUUCACCCCUACCGCUGGAGGGUGACAAAGAUGGAAUCUGAAUUUAUACUUAUUUCAGAUGGAAAAGUUCAGCCCCCUGGUAGCCUGAAAAACACGUAAUCCAGUUUUGUCUUGUGAUUGAGGCUUUCUCAUCCCCUCUCACUCUUCUUCGCAAUUUCUUGGAGCGAUGAAUCACAUAGCGUAGAUGUUCGUCACGACGCAGCCUUGCUGACCUCCUUUUUCAUCAUUCUUUUUCUCAGGUCGUACCAAUGAAUUGAGUGGAUGCACAAAUUUUUGCAAUUGAAUGCGGUUGACAAAUGCUCCCUGAAUAACUGAACACCGAAUUUAAAAUGGAAAAUGUAUUUUCCCUGUCAUAACUGUCACGUACAUUUGUCCAACAUGGGGUCUAACACCGUGUGGUAGUGUCACCAGCAUUUCUGAUACACGAGCAUAUCGCCAGGGUCGACGGAGAUAACACAUCCUCGAAGGUUAGCGAAACAAAGUAACCUGUUUUUCGGUCUUGUGGGACAGUUAGCUCGGUAGUAUACUUGUGCGAAUGAUACAUGUUACCCCGGGGAAAUCUUAUGGUGGCACGAUUGGAUGAACGCCAUAGGUGAUACUGUACAUCUUCAAGAAAAUUGCAACAUCGAAUUCACCAGCAGUUGGCGAAAAAAAAAUGGAUUAAAAACUUUCGAGAGUCGAGUUGUGAUAAAUGAUGCACUCAAUGGUCGUUGUGUCACUGGGUAAUUUGUCAACGAAGUUUUCAUGAAUGACCUUCUUGGGAGCCCAACGGAACGAUAUUCCACCGGCCAAAUGAAGAUUAUCUUCCUAUCUUUGACUGGCGAAUUUAAACUUCAAAAGACAGAACGACAGAUUUUAAUUGCCGAAAGCUCAAAGCCAAGUUAGCAAAUCAAUGGGGACUUCAUUACAGAGCCUUUCAAUUCCCCAUUCACUAUUCUUUUUAACAUUAAGAGCACUCCUUUGACAUGCCGCAUUCAGUGGGCCUAAAAAUCCGAGCCACCGUGGGGAGUUAACCAACCAAAGCUCCUGCAAGUAAUGUAGAGGGUGAAAAAUUUUCCGGGAGAACGAGGUCUUCAUCAGGAUAACCGAUCUCUGACGUUUUUUUCCC